AGGUUCCCCUGCAGCCCCUGGGGCAGUCCAUGGUGAGGCAGCUGUGCCCCUGCAGCCCUUGGAGGGCCAUGGGGAUUCAAAGAUCCACCUGUGGCCUGUGGAGGAUCCCCAUGCCACAGCAGAUGAUGCCCAACAGAGCCUGUGACCCCAUGGAAAAUCCAUGCUGGAGCAGGCUCCUGGCAGCACCUAUGGAAAGAGGAGUCCGUGCUGGAGUAAGUUUGUUGGGCAGGACUUGUGACCCUGCAGUGGACCCACACUGGAACAGGCUGUGCCUGGAGGACUGCACCCAGUGGAAGGGACACAGACUGGAGCAGUUUGUGAAUUACUGCAGCCCACAGAAAGGACUCAUAUUGAAGAAGUUCACAGACUGUUUCCCAGUGGAGAAACAUCACACUGCAGGAGGUGAAGGGUGUGAGGAGUUCUUCUUCAGAGGAGAAGGGAAAGGUAGAGACAAUGUGUGAUGAAUUGACCACAAUCCCCAGUCCCUGAAAAGUCAGGAGUAAAGUUGAGCUUGGGAAGAAGGGACAGGUGAGGAGAAUAUGUUUUAAGACUUGGUUUUAUUCCUCAUUACCCUGCUCUGAUGUGACUGGUAAUAAAUUAAUUUCCCCAAGUCAAAUCUGGUUUUGCCCAGGCAGUAACAGCUGAGUGAUCUCUUCCUACUCUUAUCUCAAUCUGUGAGGCUCUUCUAUUUUUUUUCCCUUUGUUCAACUGAGAAAGGGGAAUGAUAAGAGUGACUUGGGUGGGCACAUGGAAUCCAGCCAGGGUCUACCCACCACAGACACUCAUUUAUGCGAUCUUGUGGUUGUGGCCUUGCAGUCAGUAGCAAAAUAGCAGGUUAAAUAUUGCUGCAUUUCCAUUAGUUCCAGGGGAUUACACCUUCUUAUUUCUUGCAUCUUGAGACCUUUUAAGUGAUAAUAAUGCUGACUUCUUGCUACAAAUUUCUCAUGAGUUAUUGUAUGAGGGAAUUGUGUUUUUAUUUUAAUUUCAUGCUCAUACGCACAUUCUCAUAACUAGUAGAGCAUGUGUUUGUCCAAAUCAUCUGUCCAAUAUUCAAGGAUUAACAGGCAUGUACUGAGGUGGCCUGGCCAGGAUUUCCUGUGAUGCCUUGGAGGGUAGUGAGCAUACUGAGUCAUUACCAUGGCUCUCAUCUUUUUCCUGUGUUGGCAGCCAUGAUAGUUUUUGAUAUCUUUUUUUAUAUCCCUUAGGAGUUGACCUCAAUUAUAUUUUUUAUUCUGUCAAUUGUUUUAUUCUCUCAGAACCCUCUCAAACUUCAUGCAUCAUUUUGAUUAGCUUUGUUUUCUCUCUGUACCUUUGUGUACCCUUUGUCUCUCUUUAUACCUUUGCUCAUCCUGUUCAGGGUGUGGGCUGUCAUAUACUUUCUUCUCCUUAAUUUUCUUCUCUUUAAUACACUGCAUUUACCAGAACAGAGAUCUUCUUAGUUUUAUUAUCUAGGUGCCAUAAACAUUGGGUUUUGUACAUCUCUCUUUUGCUGUUUCAGUAUUGUUUCUGUUGCAAUUCUGGCUGGGGAGACAUGACAGCAUGAGGACUUGAGAUUCAACAAGGCCAAGUGACAUGUCCUGCAGUCUGGCUACAACAAUGCCAUGCAGCACUACAGGCUGGGACAAGAGUGACUGUAAAGAGGCCUGGUGGAAAAGGACCUGAGGGUGCUGGUUGAGAGCAGCUAAACGUGGCCCAGUGGCCAGGAAAACCAAUGGCAUCCUGGCCUGGCCAGCAACAGUGGGCUGGGAUUGUUCCUCUGUACAUGGCACUGGUGACAACACAAAUCCCGUGUCCAGUUCCAGGCCCCUCACUGCAUAAAAGACAUUGAGAGGUUGGAGCAAGUCCAGAGAAAGACAACAGAGCGGGUGAAUUGUCUAGAGGGACUUUGAAGUUGCACUGUAUGUUUCCACUGAGGUUUCAAAACUGUACUGCAGGCAAUAGAGUCCAUCACUGUCUGAAGCCAAAGUCUUGUUCCUUUCAUUAGAGAAGGACCAGCAGUAGAAGGUGGCCAUUUAAGCAGUUUUAAUGCAAUAUUGCACAAAGCAGGAAAACUAUACCCAGAAAAACAUCCAGGAUGAUUGCUGAUUUUCUAAAAACACCAGGAUUUGCAGGUUCAUUGGUUCCCUGCAAAGAAUUUAGUGAUUGGAAAUCUAGGCUAAAUGGACACAAAAAGGACCCUUUUCUCUGACCCAUUGAUUUUUUCAUGUUUUUACAUGUCAUGGAAAUCAGGAGAUUUAUGAAAAGGGCCUCACAUUUGUUAACCUUUUGUUACAGAUAUCCAUUUAUCAUAGCAUCCAGAAGAUUUUACUUUGUUGUUGAAAAAUAGGUGAUGCAUUCUAAAAACAGCUGAAACAGAAAAAUAAUUUCUGAAGUGAGUUGAACCUGUUUAAUGUGUGAAUACAUGUAAUAUGAUCUCUUGUAACAUACACCUUUGACCAAAUACUAUUAAUAAUGAUAUGCAGGAUAAUAUGGCAUUAUGGAAAAUCACCUCUUCAUUGGAAGAUGAAAACAAACCAAAAACCUAAAUAAUAAUAGUCUUCACAGUGGUGUCUAAUUUUUCGUCAAUCAAGUCUUUAAUGAAUUUAAGAUAUGAGUAUAGUCACAGCAGUUCCAACCCCCACAUUGUAAAUCCACAUGUAAAGAAUACAAUUUAACAAUCCUUUAAUGCUAUUUUGAACAAGCUGCAAAUACAAUUUUAGAACUAUUCGAUUUUUCAAAUAACCUGGUAGGAACUGCAGUUUGUAUAACUCAUUUUGUGAUGGUAUUAUGUUUGUAUUGUCCUCUUAAUCUGCAUAGGUAUAAUUAGAAGUUUGGCUUGAUUAAGAAAAACCAUUUACUCAAAUAAAUACCAAGCCUUUGAGGUUUUCUUUAAAAAAAUUCUUAGUAAUUCUAGAUUAUUUUAAAGGGUAGACAAAUGUCAUGAAAAUGUAUUUUAAAAGCAUUUCAUAGAAACAAUAGAGUUGUACAUAAGUGUUCAUAUCUGUUCUUUCAUAAUUCUGAGAACUUAUUUUAAUGUGUAUAGUGAUGCAUCAUAGAGACACGAUUUAGCAAUUGAUACUUGACUGGGAAACACUUUGCAUAUUUUUGGUACCAUAGAAACCACCUAUUAAAAACUACCUAUAAACAUUAAUAAGGGUUUUAAAUGAAAAAAUUUUAACUGUGGUAAUUUUUAGCACAUUCCCACCCAGAUACAGUUGGAAUUAUAGUAACAAAGUUGAAAAUGUUAUGGAGUUAUUGUCAUGGAUAAGUUCAUUGCCAUGACUAACAACAUCAGUGGGAAAAAAAAUGCAAGACCUACUUAGAUUAUGUACAUACACAAAACAGUAAAAUGAGGAGAAAGUUGGAGAGACCAAGUGUUAAAUUGUAAUGCUAAGGAUGAACAACAUCAAACUUGCCCUGGAGUUGUUGAAAAAGAUGCCUUGCUGUUUCUCAUUUACCAAAUUGGUUUCUAAAAUGUACAUAAAUUAAAAUAUUUCAUAGAACUCUCUUUUUUAUUACUCUUCAUUAUCCUAUAAGAAUGGAAAGGAAUUAUAGUUAACAGUUUAAAAAUAUUGUGCAAUUCAGAAUGAAAUCUUGCAUCUACAUGUAAAAAGAAAGAGGCUUGUAUAUUAUACUUCCUUUUUGAAAAUUUUUUUCCUAUAUAGAUAUAUGUAGGCAAAACAUUAAAAGCUAUUUAGCCUACUGCUAACUCACUCCUUUUCAAUAUUAACCAUAUCCCUUAAACUAAAUGGCUAAGCCAGAUAAAUAACCACAAACAUGAAAGAACUUACACAAGUUUUGCAACUCCUACUAUUUACUGAAUAAAUGGCAUAUUUAAAAUUUUAAGAUUAUCUUUAAAAUUGACAAUUAACAAUUAAAAACAAAAAUUCUAUGCUGGACAACUACUAGAGGUUUUCAUUUAUAGUAAAUUGUUUUAUUGUGUGACAUGGGAAACACAGGAAUUGUGACUAAUGGGAGAGCAGAAUUAAGAAUUAUGCAGCAUCUUUCAAGCAAGGUACAAUCUCACACCAGCCCUGGUGAGAAUUAGGUGUUUAUUACAGGUCUACUGGGUUCUUUCCAAAGACAAGGAAAGGUCUUGUUCCCCUAAGUCAUUCCUUUAUUGACGUAGAACCUUGAAUUGAACUGAACUGAACUGUAUUGAAUUUAGAACUGCAUUGAACUUAGAAUUACAUAUGAAAAAGAAAGAGUCUGGAGAGCAGUGGAAUGGGUUUGAAGCUUUUGAACUCCAGAACAUUUUUGAAAGGGCACAUCUUACAGUCAUUAAGCUGUAAUACAGGAACAAAAUACUAUAUAAUUCUGUACUACUUGAUUGUAUUUUAAUAGCUAUGUAUGUUCACAUAUGUAGUAGUAUAAGAUACCAAUAGGUCAGAGAGAUCUUAAUAUGUUGAAUUUUAAGAAACUUUUUACUUUCCAUAUAUUUCUUUAUAUUUGUUGAUUUGAGGAAAUCCUGUUGCUUUUACUUUAAAUCUGAAAAAUAUGCAGACACUGAGCUGAUAAUUCCUAUGGAAUGAAUGUGAAAAAUACUUUAUUUCUGUUUACAUAGAAUGUAAACAAAUAAAUAAACCAACCCACCUC